UCCAUCCCAUUAUGACCACAGUGUACCCAUCUUCUGAUGGCUACUUCCAGCAGGAUAAUGCACCAUGUCAUAAAGCACACAUCAUCUCAGACUGGUUUCUUAAACAUAACAAUGAGUUCACUGUACUCAAAUGGCCUCCACAGUCACCAGAGCUCAAUCCAAUAGAGCACCUUUGGGAUGUGGUGGAACGGGAGAUUCACAUCAUGGAUGUGCAGCCGACAAAUCUGCAGCAGCUGCGUGAUGCUAUCAUCUCAAUAUGGACCAAAAUCUCAGGAAUUUUCCAGUACCUUGUUGAAUCCUAGCAAUGGAGGAUCAAGGCAGUUCUGAAGGCAAAAGUGGGUACAACCCGGUACUAGUUAGGGGUACCUAAUAAAGUGUCCGAUUGGUUGAUGAUGUUGUCGCCUGACCUCUGAUCCCCAGUUGAUACGAACAAACAACAGGACAUUGGCAUGACGUCAGCCCUCUUGAGGUUCAGACCGGUUCUGUCAGGCUGAAGUGGUCAGAGGGGUGAAACUGACCCUCAGCAAUCCGGUCCGAUCUGAGGAAGAGUUAAAGUCACCCACUUUGGUGUAUGUUUGUGGUCCUGAAAGAACUAUCACUGACAUAACCAUGUGACUGUAGUUACAACAGCUGAUUGGGACAAUCAGCUAAUAUUUACUGUUUAGAACUAUAAAUUAGAAAUAAUGACUCAUCAAUUAUGGCUUAAAGGGAUAGUUCAUACAAAAUAAUGACAAUUCUGUUAUCAUUUACUUGUUUCGAACCACAAAAGAAGAUAUUUAGAAAAAUGUUGGAAACCUGUAACCAUUGACUUCCAUAGUAGCCUAUUUGUUUUUCCUACUAUUGAAGUCAAUGGUAACAGGCUUUCAGCUUUCUUCACAAUAUCUUCUUCAACGUUCAAAAGAAGAAAUAAACGUAAAGGUUUGGAAC